rnacentral:rRNA from 1 species
UAAGGAAUAUUGGUCAAUGGGCGCAAGCCUGAACCAGCCAUGCCGCGUGCAGGAAGACGGCCCUAUGGGUUGUAAACUGCUUUUGUACCGGAAUAAACCCUUUUACGUGUAAGAGGCUGAAUGUACGGUAAGAAUAAGGAUCGGCUAACUCCGUGCCAGCAGCCGCGGUAAUACGGAGGAUCCGAGCGUUAUCCGGAUUUAUUGGGUUUAAAGGGUGCGUAGGCGGCCUGCUAAGUCAGGGGUGAAAGCGGAUAGCUUAACUAUCCAAGUGCCCUUGAUACUGGCGGGCUUGAAUGCAGCUGAAGUAGGCGGAAUGUGACAAGUAGCGGUGAAAUGCAUAGAGAUGUCACAGAACACCGAUUGCGAAGGCAGCUUACUAAAGUGCGAUUGACGCUGAGGCACGAAAGCGUGGGGAUCAAACAGGAUUAGAUACCCUGGUAGUCCACGCCCUAAACGAUGAACACUCGAUGUUGGCGAUACACGGUCAGCGUCUAAGCGAAAGCGUUAAGUGUUCCACCUGGGGAGUACGUCCGCAAGGGUG